GACGAACGCUGGCGGCGUGCUUAACACAUGCAAGUCGAACGAUGAACCGGGUGCUUGCACCUGGGAAUUAGUGGCGAACGGGUGAGUAACACGUGAGUAACCUGCCCUGGACUCUGGGAUAACCCCGAGAAAUCGGAGCUAAUACCGGAUAGGACCUUCUCCCGCAUGGGGGUUGGUGGAAAGUUUUUCGGUCUGGGAUGGACUCGCGGCCUAUCAGCUUGUUGGUGAGGUAAUGGCUCACCAAGGCGUCGACGGGUGGCCGGCCUUCGAGGGUGGACGGCCAAACUGGGACUGAGACCCGGCCCAGACUCCUGCGGGAGGCAGCAGUGGGGAAUAUUGCACAAUGGGCGCAUGCCUGAUGCAGCAACGCCGCGUGCGGGAUGACGGCCUUCGGGUUGUAAACCGCUUUUAGUAGGGAAGAAGGGCUUCGGCUUGACGGUACCUGCAGAAAAAGGGCCGGCUAACUACGUGCCAGCAGCCGCAGUAACAC
rnacentral:rRNA from 1 species